GACGAACGCUGGCGGCGCGCCUAAUACAUGCAAGUAGAACGCUGAAGGAGGAGCUUGCUUCUCUGGAUGAGUUGCGAACGGGUGAGUAACGCGUAGGUAACCUGCCUGGUAGCGGGGGAUAACUAUUGGAAACGAUAGCUAAUACCGCAUAAUAGUAGAUGUUGCAUGACAUUUGCUUAAAAGGUGCAAUUGCAUCACUACCAGAUGGACCUGCGUUGUAUUAGCUAGUUGGUGGGGUAACGGCUCACCAAGGCGACGAUACAUAGCCGACCUGAGAGGGUGAUCGGCCAAACUGGGACUGGGAAACGGCCCAGACUCCUACGGGAGGCAGCAGUAGGGAAUCUUCGGCAAUGGACGGAAGUCUGACCGAGGAACGCCGCGUGAGUGAAGAAGGUUUUCGGAUCGUAAAGCUCUGUUGUAAGAGAAGAACGAGUGUGAGAGUGGAAAGUUCACACUGUGACGGUAUCUUACCAGAAAGGAACGGCUAACUACGUG
rnacentral:rRNA from 1 species